rnacentral:rRNA from 1 species
AUGGGAUAUUUUGCUCCAGAGCUAGCACGCACCGGUAAGGCAACACCUCUAACAGAUGUGUAUGCAUUUGGCAUUUUCAUCCUCGAGGUAACUUGCGGACGAAGGCCUAUUAUUGACAACAAUCAGGCAGAGGAUGUUGAUUCAGAGAUAUUAAUUGAUUGGGUUGUUGAGCAUUGGCGCAAAGGGUCACUUACAGACACACUGGACAGAAGACUACAAGGCAGCAACUGUAAUCUUGAUGAGGUAUGUCUAGCGUUAAAGCUAGGAUUGCUGUGUGCACAUCCAUUUGGCAAUGUAAGGCCUAGUAUGCGGCAAGUCAUGCAAUACCUUGACGGUGAGAUGCUGCUCCCAGAGCUGAUGCCUACAAACGUCAGCUAUAGCAUGAUGGCAGUAAUGCAGAAUGAUGGUUUCAGCUAG